rnacentral:rRNA from 1 species
UACAGAGGGCUCAAGCGUUGUUCGGAUUCAUUGGGCGUAAAGGGCGCGUAGGCUGCGGGGCAAGUCGGGUGUGAAAUCUCAGAGCUCAACUCUGAAACUGCACUCGAUACUGCUUUGCUUGAGGACUGGAGAGGAGAUUGGAAUUCACGGUGUAGCAGUGAAAUGCGUAGAUAUCGUGAGGAAGACCAGUGGCGAAGGCGGAUCUCUGGACAGUUCCUGACGCUGAGGCGCGAAGGCCAGGGGAGCAAACGGG